AUCCAGACUCCUACGGGAGGCAGCAGUGAGGAAUAUUGGUCAAUGGGCGCGAGCCUGAACCAGCCAAGUCGCGUGAGGGAUGACGGUCCUAUGGAUUGUAAACCUCUUUUGUCAGGGAGCAAAGGGCGCCACGUGUGGCGUUUUGCGAGUACCUGAAGAAAAAGCAUCGGCUAACUCCGUGCCAGCAGCCGCGGUAAUACGGAGGAUGCGAGCGUUAUCCGGAUUUAUUGGGUUUAAAGGGUGCGCAGGCGGCACGGCAAGCAGGCGGGCAAAUCGCGGGGCUCAACCCCGCCCAGCCGUCGGAACUGCCGGGCUAGAGUGGGCGAGAAGUGCGCGGAAUGCGUGGUGUAGCGGUAAAAUGCAUAGAUAUCACGCAGAACUCCGAUUGCGAAGGCAGCAUACCGGCGCCCGACUGACGCUGAGGCACGAAAGCGUGGGUAUCGAACAGGAUUAGAUACCCUCGUA
rnacentral:rRNA from 1 species